rnacentral:rRNA from 1 species
UCUGGUUGAUUCUGCCAGUAGUCAUAUGCUUGUUUCAAGGACUAAGCCAUGCAUGCCUCAGAAUAACUGCACUGCAGGAGUCUGCGCAUGGCUCAUUACAUCAGACCCAAUCUGCCGCAAAAAUGUUGCGGAAACGCAUUAUUGGAUACCUUGUGCGAAACGCCAAGCUAAUACAUGAACUAAUGGGAUCGUUCCGUUCCACACGCCGGAGGCUUGCCGAAGGCGUGGUGACCGACCCUGCGGAUGAAUGAAAGUACAAAUCAACGCUUCGCAAGAAGCAGUAUCACUGAGAAGUGCUGAAUCAAUUCAUCUUUGCUUAAGCUGGCCUAGCCAGCGUCUUUUGACGAACAACUGCCCUAUCAGCCAGUGAUGGCCGUGUAGUGGACUGCCAUGGCGUUGACGGGAGCGGGGGAUUAGGGUUCGAUUCCGGAGAGGGAGCCUGAGAAAUGGCUACCACUUCUACGGAGGGCAGCAGGCGCGCAAAUUGCCCAAUGCCAAAACAAAUGAUGAGGCAGCGAAAAGAAAUAGGUGCCCCAAACUCCUAGUGGGUUUGGGGCUUUCAAUGGGGGAUAUUUAACACCAUCCAACAUCGAGUAACAAUUGGAGGACAAGUCUGGUGCCAGCACCCGCGGUAAUUCCAGCUCCAAGAGCGUAUAUUAACGCUGUUGCUGUUAAAGGGUUCGUAGUUGAACUGUGGAGCAUGAUUCAGAGAUCCCGUCCUUUUCCCACGGUCUAGGAACGUUUCUAUCAUGCCCCGAGAACGUCAGAAACUAAGAUCACGGGAGCGUUUUUUACAAAUGGCCACCAAUCACGCGAGCAAUGCACGCUGGUGGACGUCCGUGUUCAUUACUGUGACUAAAGAAGUGCGACCAAAGCAGUCCAUCGACAUGAAUUAGAAAGCAUGGGAUAACAAAGUAGCAGCCUAUGAGCUACCGUUUAGGCUUUUGUUGGUUUUAAAAGUUCGUGGGAGAUUACGGGUUUGUAGGACCGGUGUUGGCGAGCUUUCGGGUUCCCGCAUCUCCUUCUUGUGCUGGAAACGGUGCUUGGAGGCCUAUUUUACUCAGGAAUGAAGGAGGGUUGCUCGGGGGAAAACGUACUUGGGCGUGAGAGGUGAAAUUCUUAGACCGCCCAAAGACGAACUACAGCGAAGGCAUUUUCCAAGGAUACCUUCCUCAAUCAAGAACCAAAGUGUGGGGAUCGAAGAUGAUUAGAGACCAUUGUAGUCCACACCACAAACGGUGACCCCCAUGAAUUGGGGAGUUUUUGUGGCGGCAUCUCCAGGCUCGUCCUGGUUGGUGUCCCACAAUAAAGUAUUCAACCUACGUGCACGUUCUAUCCAGCCAGGAGGUUAAACUCCUGGCCUUGACGGGAACAUCCUCAGCACGUUCUCUUACUGUUUCACGCGAAAGCUUUGAGGUUACAGUCUCAGGGGGGAGUACGUUCGCAAGAGUGAAACUUAAAGAAAUUGACGGAAUGGCACCACAAGAUGUGGAGCGU